rnacentral:rRNA from 1 species
GAUGAACGCUGGCGGCGUGCCUAAUACAUGCAAGUCGAACGCACAGCGAAAGGUGCUUGCACCUUUCAAGUGAGUGGCGAACGGGUGAGUAACACGUGGACAACCUGCCUCAAGGCUGGGGAUAACAUUUGGAAACAGAUGCUACUACCGAAUAAAACUUAGUGUCGCAUGACACAAAGUUAAAAGGCGCUUUGGCGUCACCUAGAGAUGGAUCCGGGGUGCAUUAUUUAGUUGGUGGGGUAAAGGCCUACCAAGACAAUGGUGCAUAGCCCAGUUGAGAGACUGAUCGGCCACAUUGGGACUGAGACACGGCCCAAACUCCUACGGGAGGCUGCAGUAGGGAAUCUUCCACAAUGGGCGAAAGCCUGAUGGAGCAACGCCGCGUGUGUGAUGAAGGCUUUCGGGUCGUAAAGCACUGUUGUAUGGGAAGAACAGCUAGAAUAGGGAAUGAUUUUAGUUUGACGGUACCAUACCAGAAAGGGACGGCUAAAUACGUGCCAGCAGCCGCCGUAA